GGAGAUGUGGCUGAGAGGUUGAAAGCGCUCCUCUGCUAAAGGAGUAUUCUACUGAAUCGAGGGUUCGAAUCCCUCCCUCUCCA
rnacentral:tRNA from 1 species